rnacentral:rRNA from 1 species
UACGGAGGGUGCAAGCGUUAUCCGGAUUCACUGGGUUUAAAGGGUGUGUAGGCAGGUUAUUAAGUCAGUGGUGAAAUCUCCGGGCUCAACCCGGAAACUGCCAUUGAUACUAUUAGCCUUGAAUUCUGUUGAGGUGGGCGGAAUAUGUCAUGUAGCGGUGAAAUGCAUAGAUAUGACAUAGAACACCAAUUGCGAAGGCAGCUCACUAAACAGCGAUUGACGCUGAGGCACGAAAGCGUGGGGAUCAAACAGG